AGAAGUCGUAACAAGGUUUCCGUAGGUGAACCUGUAGAAGGAUCAUUG
rnacentral:rRNA from 1 species